UGAGGUGUCUCACAGAGAUGGCAAGCAGU
rnacentral:piRNA from 1 species